rnacentral:rRNA from 1 species
UACGUAGGGUGCGAGCGUUAAUCGGAAUUACUGGGCGUAAAGCGUGCGCAGGCGGCUUCGCAAGUCAGGCGUGAAAUCCCCGGGCUUAACCUGGGAAUGGCGUCUGAAACUACGGAGCUGGAGUGUGGCAGAGGGAGGUAGAAUUCCACGCGUAGCGGUGAAAUGCGUAGAUAUGUGGAGGAAUACCGAUGGCGAAGGCAGCCUCCUGGGCCAACACUGACGCUCAUGCACGAAAGCGUGGGGAGCAAACAGG